UUUUUUUUUUUUUUUUUUGUAGGGCUGUUUUAUUUAUCCUGUUGAAAAGCUUUUUUAAAAAAAGUCAUUUUUGUAUUAAGGGCAAUGUGUUUUUGGUGUCUUUCCUCCCCAGCUUUCAGAAGGAAUAGAAAGUUACAAAGAAUAAAUAACCGUUGCUAAAGUUUUGGCAGGUAUACCCCUAGUCUGUGUGUGUAUAUUCUACACAAUUGGAAGUGGGAUUCUGAACAAUACUGGGUUGCGUCUACUUUCAGAGCUUAUCCCAAAUGCAAUCCAUCUCAGCACCUUUGUUGUACACAGGACAGUAACAAUAGUCAUCUAACUGGUGUCCCUGCUUCAGUUCUGGCUCUCCUGUGGGGGAACCAUCAUUUAAAUAUGUAAGGUAGAGAGGCUCAACAUCCUCCAAUGACUUUUCGAUACACAAAAUAAAAUCGAAACUCUUUACUAUGACACCUAUACCCAAGACCAGCAAUCUCUCAUGGAAAUAGAAUGGGAGCCACAUAAGUAAUUUAAAGUUUUCUGAUAGCCCGGGGCGCCUGUGUAGCUCAGUGGUUAAGCAUCUGACUCUUGAUUUUGGCUCAGGUCAGAACCUCAGGGUUGUGAGAUGGAGCCCUGUGUAGGGCUCCAUGCUCAGCGGGGAGUCUGCUUGAGGUUCUCUCCCUCUGCCUCCCUGUCUGCACUCCCUACUGCUUGCUCUUGCUCAUAAAUGAAUAAAUAAAUAAAUAAAUAAAUAAAUAAAUAAAUAAAUAAAUAAAUAAAUAAAAUCUUGAAAUAAAUAAAUCUUUAAAAUUUUCUGAUAGCCACAUUAAAAAGAGAAACAGGUGAGAUAUAUUUUACUUAUCACAAGAUACUAUGAUUUUAAUAAGUAAUUAGCAUAAGAAAUUAUUAAUAGGAUAUUUUACUAAAUUUUUCAGACUGUCUUCAAAAUCCACUAUAUAUUUUCCAUGUAAAGUGCUUGGGGGACUGGCCUUGUUUCAAGUGCUGAUUAGCCAGCCACACAUGACUUAUAGCUGUGGGUUGACUAUCCAGCCUUGCCAACUUUCCCCCUGAUUCAUGCACCUCCAGCUAUACUGGUCUUCUUGGGAUUCUUCAGCAUGCCAUGCUUACUUCCUUAAAAUUGUUGUGUUUUUCUGCCUGGCACACUUCAAUCUUGUAUCUGCUCAAAUGUCACUGCUUCAGGCAUGCCUCCACACACCAUGUUCCCUGACUAUAUGACUCUGCAUCAUGUCCUUAUGGAACCUGUCAUCCGAAGUUGUUUUGGUUGUUGUCUGUCACUUGAGGGCAGAAGUUAGGACUCUAAGGUACACAAGCAUUUCAUCUUACUGUGAUUAGUCGCCUGUCCUGUGGGGCUUGUUGCUUUGUCCUUUUGUCACUGGAGAGAGUGGUAAGGAGCUAAGUCUCCACAUAUUCCUCAUUUCUUUGGGAUUCAGUCUGUCUUAAAUGGCUGAGUCAAAGCACAUGAACUUUUUUUUGUGUCUUUUUAUAAAUAUUGCCAAAUCUUAUUGUAAAAUUUUGCUGAGAUUAUAAUAUAAAGUUGACUGAACCAGUAUAAAGUUUGAUGAAAAAUGUGAGAGUACAAAUUUUCUCUGUAUCUUUGCCAACACUUGAAUAUUUUCUUUCCUGCCUGCCUUCUUCAUAAGACUCUUUAUAUAUUUCUUAGAAUAAUUAUGAUGACAAAUGGAGAGAAAGGUAUUAUGUCUUCUAAUUUGUUUUUGCUUAUUUGGAGUGAUGUUCUAUGUUCAAAAUACCCUUUUUAUUCUUUUAUAUAAUUAGGAUAGCAAUCCUUUGUCACAUCCCACAGAUAUUUUCCCUGGCUCUUCGUUUGCCUUUUACUUGCUUAUGGUAUUUUGUUUUUUUUAACUUCAAAGAGUUUUUACCUUUUAAGAAAUUUAAGUUAGUAGUUUCUUUUUAUGGCUCCUACUUCACUCUCAUGUUUAAUGGGUACUCCUGACCAGAUAACUCUUCUAGUCCUUCUAUGGUUUCAUUCUCAUACGUAUCUCUCUCUGUUUAUCUAGGAUUUGUUUUGAUAGUAUAAGUCAAGAGAAAUAACUUCUUUAUUUUUCCUUAAUAGUUAUUUUAGCCUGAUUAACAAAAAUCUUGUUGCCUUGAAAUAAAACUGCCUUCAUUAUAUACUAAAAGCAUAUAUAUACUUGGUUCUUUUUAGCUUUUAUACAGUGUUCAUAAUUUGAUGCUAGUGCAUUGUUUUAGUAACUGGGAAUAAUGUGUUUUCGUUUUGUCUCCCUCCCUUUUCAUCCCCAAAUUUUUGACUGUUGCUUUGUUCUCUAGUUUUUUAGUUGAUUCCUUAGAGUCUGCAGGUGGUUUGGGGUUUUGAAAUUUUAAAUUAAGUUACUGUAUUUCUACACUUUGUUUUAUUUUCUAUGAUAAAAAUAUUUUGUGCCAUUAAAUUGUCCUUUGCGUGUAGUUUUGCUUUGUUCCUUAAAUGUUGAUGUGUAAAAAUAUCUGUAUUGAGUGACUCU
rnacentral:lncRNA from 1 species